CCGGUGGUGCGCGGCCCAGCAGCCGCCCGGGACCUGAGCCCGCUGCUCGGGGAGCCCUGAGGGAGCGAGGAAGGGCCGGCGGGCCCCGUGUGACCAGGCGGCGUGGCACAGCCAUGGAGGUUUUUCGAGGAAAGCCAUUAAUUUGGCUCCGCUGCCAAAGGCGCUUGUUGUCUCGUAGUAGUGAGAAAGACGGGACCAGUCCCUAACUUCUGGAUGUAGAACUGGAACAGAUGUGAGGUCUUGGUUCAUCCGUGCAUUUGCAUAAAGAUCAGGGUGAGACUAUAGGCCCAGUGAGAGGUACCAGUACAUCAGCAGGAACUAAAUGACUGACCAGAAAAGCCAGUUCAAGCCCAGUCCACCACACAGUCUAGGUGCAAGAAUGAAUCUUGCCCACACAUGGCAGUGCGUAAAUACCAUUGAACCAGGAAGGCUCUGUUUCAUUUUUAGCUCUUGUAUAUGCAGAGACUCCCUAGUUACAUCAUGAAUUACAGGACCCCAUCCUAUACAAACAUAGCACCAAGAGAACACGAGCGCUUGCUGGGUAAGAAAUGGCAGUGACUCAGCACCACGUUGUGAAACAGGGAGAGCAGGGACAAGUCUGGCCAACACCAGGGCAAAGCCUUUUCCUUGUAAAAAUUACCAUACUGUCUUUGAUAUGCAGGCGAGCCCCAACUAAACUGAUUUUAAACAAGCGGGACUUACACUC